UUGCGGGACGCCAUGCUGAGAGACGCUUCCCCCACGCCGGCCGGAAAGAGAAAAAUGGAACACCGGAAGCGUGGCUCAGGGCCCGGAGACUCAGAUACAGAAAGGAAGAAAUCGUCUGUCGAGUGAUCCGGAUGGCCUCUUGAGAAUGGGCUUUCAGUAGGAAGUCAUCUAGGUGUAUAAAUGCCAACAUGUGACCGGUCGCCCAGGAGUCCUUCAUGGUGUGUAACACCUCAUUAGUUUUUGCUGCAAGGAGCUUCUCACUAUCGAAUGACAGGUUUUCCACUGUGGAUUGGAUUUCAUGUGGGAACCCUGAGGAGUUCAACCAUAAAGCCCGGAUGACUACAGCAGGAGCGGUGGAUCUUGCUGCUUUGUCCACUGUAUCCAAGUAUGCCUGUAAUACUGUCCUUGCUAUAAACUGUUGUUUGGAAACCAAUGAUUUGAAUGGUUCCCUUUUUUCCC